UACGAAGGUCCCAAGCGUUAUCCGGAUUUAUUGGGUUUAAAGGGUCCGUAGGCGGAUCUGUAAGUCAGUGGUGAAAUCUCACAGCUUAACUGUGAAACUGCCAUUGAUACUGCAGGUCUUGAGUGUUAUUGAAGUAGCUGGAAUAAGUAGUGUAGCGGUGAAAUGCAUAGAUAUUACUUAGAACACCAAUUGCGAAGGCAGGUUACUAAGCAACAACUGACGCUGAUGGACGAAAGCGUGGGGAGCGAACAGG
rnacentral:rRNA from 1 species